UUAUCCCUGCCAUAAAGUCGCACUGUUAUUAAUGAAAUUAGUCUUCCAUCUUGUAAUAUCAUCCAGAACGAUGAUGAUGAGGUAAUAAGACAAGUAUCAUGGUCAUCGAUAGCCUUUCAUCAGGAAAUAUAUAGCUGAGAUAUUACCUUGAAAAAAAAACUGCCGAUGGCAUUAUAAUAGCUCUGUAGCCAUACAUUCGAAGAGCAAGUGAUUAUGUAUUAACCGUCUUUAAAGCAGCAAAAAACUAACAAACAUA